UAUUUUUCUUUAAAACUAAAUGACACUUAGAAAUUUUAAAGUGAAUUUUGUUUUGGUGAAUCUUUUAAUUUAAUUUAAUUUGUUCAAUCAUUAAUAAUAUUUUAUUUUUCUUAUUGUGGAAAUAAAUAUCAAAUAAUAUUUUAAACAUUACAUCUUAUUAAAAUUAUUUUAUUUUAAUAAUAAACCCAACCUAACUUUAGAUUUUUAUUUAAUUAUAAAAAUUUAUUGUGAGCUUUUCUUAUUGGGUAGCUAGUCUCGUUACUAAUGUCUUUGUUUUAACAAACAUCGCGUCGGCAGACAGAGCUAAAGGUUGCAAGUAAAUAUUAUUCAAGAAUUAGGUAUAUUAGGUUAGAAUAUAUUUGUAAGCCUAUGCGUAUUGGGUAGCUAGUCUCGUUACUAAUGUCUUUGUUUUAAUAAACAUCGCGCCGGCAGACAGCGUAAAGAAACUUACAAUUAUAUUUGCAGUGUUUAAUUUUUGUCUUGGUUAUUAUUGUGCCGCAUCCUUUCAAGGUGCUUUAUUUUAGCACCGGGACACA